GCGCGUAAAUUUAAAAUAAAGCAAUACAAAACUACAGCCUUCUACCCACAGUCCAACGGAUCACUAGAAAGGUCACAUCAUGUCUUAAUCGAGUACCUGAAGCAAUUCACGGAGAAGGAAAAGGAUUGGGACGAAUGGGUAGAUACGGCUAUCUUUUCGUAUAAUACAAGUGUACAUGAGGGAACUCGAUACACGCUCUAUGAGCUGGUCUUCGGAAAACUAGCUAGAGUUACAGCCUCAGAUCCACCUUUGGACGAUGAAAUGGACAGGACAUACUUACAAUACUACGAGAAUCUAAUAAAUAAAAUAAAUAGAACACAAGAGGUAGCACGACAAAAUUUGAUGAGAUCCAAGGAAAUAUCAAAAAGAUAUUAUGACAAGAAAGCAAGACCGUUAACUUUAAGGGAAGGGGAUAAGGUGUUUUUAUUAAAGGAACCUACUAACAAAUUCGGCAACCAAUAUACAGAACCUCAUCAGAUUUUAGAAAUACUUCCUCGUAAUAAUGUCAAAUUAUCAAUAGGAAACCCUACUAGGGUAGUGAAUGUUAAUAAGUUAAGAAUAUCUAAAAUGAGAUAGGUUAAGGUGAUUGUUUUGCAGAAACCAUGGGGCUUCUCAGCUUUUUAAUAACAACAUUAGGAAUCAUCAGCAAAUGUUUCUGCUUGUUGGGGUACGACUGUGGGGGAGAAUCAACAAACAUGACGACCAUUUCACUAUUGGACACGGGGGAAAGUAAUAUCCCGUCGCAUGCACCCAAUGCUACAGAAGUCUAUAUUCAGCUUCUACAGUUAGCAGAGUACGAUCAUACACACGUACACCAGUGCCGAGUGGAGAUCGACAGAACAAUCUAUUAUUGUGGAAUGUCUUCACACGUGUCAGCUGAUCAAAAUGGAAGGUGAAUAUACGUAAUGGAUUUAACAGCUGAAGCAUGCAAGGCUAUAUUCAACACCAGUAUCAUGGGGAUAACACCAACCCUAUAGGUAUCAGGUUUGCGGGCCAAUGCCACCGAGUAUCGGAGUGCCACGGUGGCAGGACCGAUUUUAAUGGACGGCAAGUGUUCUGGAACACAAUACGCCGAUCCGUACGGCACGUGGGACAAUGUAGUGGUGGAAGCAUCGAUAAAGAUUAACAUCAACGAAUAUUAUGCUACUGUGAAGAUAACACAAAACAAUGUAAUCCUGAGUAAAGAUGAAGUGUGCGUAUUCAUGGAUGGAAUGUGUAUCACCGAUGAGGAAGGAAAUGCGUUUUAGUCAACCAGACUGGAGUCGUCAUGUAACUUCGAUAAUUACAAGGUGUUAUAUGAAGGACUUACGACCAAAUUAAAAGCUAUGGGCAAUACGGAAGUAUACCCAGACAUAUACACUAUUACGACUCAAGACGUCACAUUCACUUUGGAAAAAAGAGAGGAGCAUCAUCUGUGUGGUUAUACGCUACUACUCAGCGAGCAUUCAAAGUUAUUUAUUCUAGAGACACAGAAGGGAAGGACCUUCGCGUCAAAAGCAAAAUUAUCGGUCGAAAACCUCGAUCUAUUCGCCUACGUCAACUCCAAAUUUGUCUACCUCGAAAAGCACAUAAGAACGCAAAUGACAGCUCUAUACAGUGACGUAAUUAGGCAAAAGUGCAAACUGGAUAAGCAGGUCCUUAAGAACGCUUUGGCAUUAGCGACCCUUCGCCCAGAUCGCUUAUACAAUCAUGAAGGCAGCGGGGUACAUGGCUGUAACUGUAGGAGAAGUUAUUCACAUAGUGAAGUGUACACCCGUCCCAGUCAGCAUAAGGCUAUCAGAAGAAUGUUACCACGAAUUACCUGUGACGCAUCAAAAUAACAGUCUUUACCUGACACCAAAAUCGAGAAUAUUGGUAAAGACAGGUACCAUAAAAGAAUGCAACGCUGUAUUACCAUCCAUGUACUACUUGGAGGGGAAUUGGUACAGGCUGACACCGAAGCUUGUGGAGGUACUCCCUCCCCAAAUACUCCAACCAUUGACCAAGCUGGCAUGGAAAUACACCAAUACAAAAAACUUAAUGACAAGCGGAAUUUAUAAGCACCAGGACUUAGGCAACUUACGAGAUCAUAUCAUGUUUCCUGCAGAGAGACCUGGACUUCCAAAUACAAUUGCCAGGGGAGCUACAGGACACCGAAUCCCACCCAACACCGUUUCGAUGUAUAAUUUAUUGGGAGAAGCAGACAUCAAUAAGAUUACGGACAGCGCAAUCUCGAAACUGUGGCAAGGCUUUUUAGCAUUUGGAUCAGCCAAUGCUGGAAUGAUCGGACUGUUUAUUUUAAUCAAAAGUGUAAAAUUAUGUGUCGACGCCAUUAUCAGAGGAUAUGUACUACAUACGGUCUAUGGAUGAAGCCUACAUCUGCUAGGAGCCAUCUAGAAUUCGUUGACACACCUACUCCUUCAUCUGGGACGAUCGGAGAAACAAGACGAAAAGAAAACAACAGAGAGUGACGGAAACAACGAUGCCAUCGAAGUAAGAGUGGACGACCCAACGGAUGAUGCUACUCCAACACCCGCAAUCAGGGGAAGCUCGAAAUACUCAAUUUUUGAAAGCAUCCUAGCAGCUUGUAAAAACAAGUCGUCAGAAAUAGAAAUUUCCUAACGACUCAAUUAAGUGAGGAGGUGUCACGUCACCAUGUGACGAUGUGUGUUACCCAAAGCAUCUCUAAAUAAUAGAAUAUAAAUAACAGAAAUGCUAAUCCUAAUCGGUAAUCUUAUUGUCGAUAGUUCUACUGUAGGUAAGCCUACCAUCGGUAAUUCCACUGUCGGUAAACUUCCGUAGGUAAAUCUAUAGUCGGUAACCCCAUAGUAAAUAAACACAUCUUAGAAAUAUUAACAAGAUUGAUGAUUCGCUAUCAAUACUAAAAAAAAGAAACACUAUUGUUAAAUAAGACUCAUUUAAUUUAUAAAUGAAAGAGCGUAUGUUAGAAUAAAAAGUUAAUAAACAAAUCGAAUAAAAAUAAAAGGAUAAGAUUUAAAAUACGAACUACUAUAAAAUCAACAAUAUAUAUACACCCUCACCCACAUAUAAACAAUUAAUAAUAAAUUGGUAAUGCUAAGAAACAUUAUAUUGCAUAGUUAUUAAGAAAUAAUUAUUAUUAAAAAUGACAAUAAUUAUUAAUAUAUUAUUAAAACCUUCAUGUAUUCACAAUGGUACGAAUUACUACAAGGAAUUUGUUAACAAAAAAUAUAACAUUAUAAUUUCUUAAUAUAAAAUAAUAAAGAUGAAGCGACAAGUCCAAGAAAUUCUUAUCACGAAUGGCAAGACUACAUGCAGUGAUAGCCGCAUUCUAAAGAUUAAAGGAUUCCUGGAAUUACACCCGGUGAUAACCGCAUUCCAGAGGCUAAGGAUUCCGAGAACUACAUCCGGUGGUAACCGCCCUGGGAACUAAGAAAUUCCAAGAACUGCUGCAUCCAGUGAUAACCGCAUUCCGGAGGCUAAGAAUUCUCGGAACCACAUCCGGUGAUAAGCGUCGACUGGUAGCAAUUCCCAGAAAGGCGACGAAGGAAUGCUUACACCGCAUCACGCCACGUCUUUCCCACGGGCAAUGCCUUCGCAUGUAGGCGGCAAGUAUGAGCGGCGCGCGUGCGCAGCAACACCAUCUGGUAGUCGACCAAGUGGGAGAGCAGCGACGCAGCAGCCAGUUUUCAUCCGUCGCUCAACUCGAUCAGCAGCAAAAACUUCAGCUCCGCGCUUAAGAAUUAUGAAGAUAAAUCAACUUAAUAUUGUACUUAGAAAAAGUAGAUAGGUCUACUGGGUACUCUUACUAUUAUUACCUUACGCUUUAUAGGCAGUUACGUUUUCAAGCGCGAAUGUUUUGUUAAGCAAGUAUACAAGGUUAUAACGAGAGAAUAUAUUUUUCUUUCCUACCGGUUAAAUCGGUGAAGUUGUAAGUCGUACACGAGUUAAAAUAAUAAAAUUACCGCGUAUCGCGAGUUUCGCGUAAUAAUACAUAUAUUUAGUGUAUCUUUAGUGUUCAUUAAAUAGUUAUUGUUAAAUUGUGGUGCUACUUCUCUUUCCUUCCAUCGACCAUCGAUCUUUCCAUCCGUACAUCUAAAGAAAUUGCAGAUCUUUGAAUUAGUACUAUCCAAGGGGGAGAAAUCGAGUCCAGGCUAUAGGAACAUCGAUUUUGCGUUAACGCACUAACAUCCUUCAUUGUCUUGGGAAGCUUGGCAGCAACGGUAGAUUUGCCCCGCCCUUCCUUUGUCUUUUGUUAACUACAAAUUCUUUUGUUAUCUACAAAUCGAGCCGUGAAGAUUUUGGGAGAGAAACGGGCAGUGAGAAAGAGAACGCCACGAGAGAAGUAGCACGAGAGUGUAGUGUGAAAUUUAACCAAUGUAAAUAAUAAACGUAAAUUGUCGUUUCUUUUGUUAGAGAAACUUAUUUUCGUUUAUUACCUCACCUUGCCUAUCCGAUUUAUUAUAUAUAUAUAUAUAUAACUAACACAAUUAUAUGACACAUUCGAGCCCAAUAUAAAGGGAGUCUCUAUUAUUACAAAAUAACACCAUUAUAGAGCACACAAUAGCAAUAGGUAAUAAAUAUGUAAGCGAUACAAUAAGGAGAGGAAAAGAAAACUAAAAAAAAGUUAUAGAAAGCGAUGCCGAACUCUGAGAGAAAUAAAAGGGACCUAGGAGCUCAAGGAAUUCGAAGAAGCGAAACUACCGCUCGACGUACGUGUUCUUCGGAUGGAAAUAUCUAAAAUUUCGUCCCUACAAAGCGACGCCAAACUCCGCAAAGGAGCAGAAAUCCAAAGAAGUAAGAAAACGAAACCACCAUCCGUCGUACGUAUUAUCCGCAUAGGUAUCUCCAAAAUUUCCAUUCCCACCACGGGACAACGAUAGCGGCAGAUUCAAAACCACUUCGCACGGCGGCGCUACUUCGAGCCGCCUACCGCAGAUCGACGGAGGACAUAAGCGGCUGCAUCGCUCGUCUCCGCGGUUAUUGAUCGAGUUUUCGACGACUAAGCAUUGGUCUUAACUUUGAUCAUACUACCGUACUGUUAGUCUUAUUUUAUACUUAGAAAUUUCAUCUAUACACUGUACUUAAAAAUUUUAAUAAAUUAGUUUGUUAAGUUUUAAAUUCAGUGUUCGUUCAAU